rnacentral:lncRNA from 1 species
CUCUUUCCAAAAAGUGCUUAACCUUCCUUAUCCAUGGCUUAACCCUCGAAAUUCCGCCAAAACAUGCUCAAAAUCCUCCAGAAUGUGAACCUAACUCCUUCCCAAAACGUGCUCCAAGAGUCCUCCCUUUGACCAACCAUCGUUCCAUCUAAAAAACAUACCGAAUCUUUCCCCCAAAAUGAACUUGAUUUUUCUUUCCAGAACAUUGCUCC